GGGGUUGUAGCUCAGUGGUAGAGUGCUUUCCUAACACGUGUGAGGCACUGGGUUCAAACCUCAACACCA
rnacentral:tRNA from 1 species